rnacentral:lncRNA from 1 species
UUGAAACUCUCUUUAAAAGAAUUAUUAAUGUGAAGAGAUCCAGUUAACCACUUCUCGUUAUUAUCCUUAAUAGUUUGAACAUGCUUUUGUCGUCUUCUUUGAAGAGCUUUAACGUGAUAGAAGCGCGUGUUUCUGUCUCCAUCUGCUAGCCAUUGAUCAUUGGUUCUCUGAAACUAGGUAAGUUCUUCUUGACAAAGAAUUUUGUGAAGCUCCUAUUGCAGACUAACUUCCAACCUUCUAAG